rnacentral:rRNA from 1 species
UACGUAGGGAGCGAGCGUUGUCCGGAAUUACUGGGUGUAAAGGGAGCGUAGGCGGGGAUGCAAGUUGGGUGUCAAAACUACCGGCUCAACUGGUAGUCGCACUCAAAACUGCAGCUCUUGAGCGAAGUAGAGGCAGGCGGAAUUCCUAGUGUAGCGGUGAAAUGCGUAGAUAUUAGGAGGAACACCAGUGGCGAAGGCGGCCUGCUGGGCUUUUACUGACGCUGAGGCUCGAAAGUGUGGGGAGCAAACAGG